AUUUUAAGUUAACAGGUCCUCUUUUGGGUGAUCCUUAAGUUACCUCUCUGGACCUGUAUAACUGCUGGAGAAGGGUUGAAUUUUUUCUGUGGCAGGCACAACCUGCCUAUCACAACCUGCUCGCUUCUCCUCCUUCCCUGCACGUUUCUCUGAAAACCACCCACCGAUCCAAGCGAGGUCCGACCCGGGAUUUUUUGCACAAUCUGAGACUGGUUUGAUUUCUUACAUCUGCUCGUACCAGCAGGUAAUUCUGGCUCAUGCCUUCAGUUUGGAUGCAAGAUGCUGUCUGUGCCAGGAGCUGCACCUGGCUGACUCUGCAAUGUGAGAAAGCAAUGAAAUGAACCCAAAAUUAUUCCCUGCUCUAAGCCCUGUGACAGCUGAUGGCUGUGUGCUAAGAGGGGAGUGGGAAUGGGUGUGCUCUGCUCUCCUGGCCCUGGUGGCCCUGUCCUGCCCCGGGGAGAGCCACACAUGAGGCGUGCUGGUCAUCGUCUGCAAAGCAGUAGCUGGCGUUUGUCUCCAAGGUCUUAUGGUCUGGGCAAGGUGGCCAGAAAAGUUGAAUGGGACACAAGACAGAAGCAGAGCACUGAGUGAUGAUACUUGCCAGCGUGGAGUUGUUUCGGAAGAAAUCCAUUAAACUCGGAGAGAGGGAAGGAGGAGGGCGCUGCUAUCAGAAGCAGGGACAGAGCGGAGAGAAGUGUAACAGGAGAAGAGGGUGAUGAAAAUGAAGCAAUAAUCAGCGAUGGCUGGAGAAAACAUGGAUGGCUGCCGAAGGUCAGCAUCAUGCCUGUGACAGUUUGAGACUAGAUGCUACGUGGCCACAAGGAUCAUUUCUCCCCUGCCCUCGUUUGGGCAGCUGCAUGCUCCUGGCAGUGAUGAGCAGCGAGCACUGAAGCACGGAGCCGCCCUGCCUCUGCUCGGCACCCAGGACGACACACCACAACGUGACACGGAGUGUGCAGUCUGAAGAACCCUGUGCUGGAAUGUGAUCUCACCUUAAAACCAAAUUUACAGUUAGUAGAAUUAAGUCUGAUUAACAGUGUCUGUGCCAAGAGAAAGUUGUAUUUAAAGUCAGCUUGCAGAGAAAAUCACCUUUACGCACAGAGGGAACAUGGAUCUUUCUGAAGUGCCAAGGAAUAUGAGAAGUUUUUGGAGAAGCAAAUGAAGAUGGAAAACGCAUGCAGAGGAACUUGGUCCUCCUGUUAAGACAGGCACCGUUCAUGGAUACACAUAGUGUCAGUAACUCGGCUAUAUUGCUCAUGUGGGGAGCAGCAUAGAUGCCUGCAGCCAGAAAAAUAAGAUACAGAUGAGUCCUCAUCACCCUCAUGUGCUCAGAGAACCUUCAGCAACUCACAUAAUGACCCGAAGCAUGACCAGGCAGAUGCCGGCCCCACCACACUUCCCCAGAGAUCGGGGCCGGCUCCGCAGAUAACGGCGCAGCCCGCUGAUAGGCAACAUGAGACUGCACUGUCAGAGAAAAAGCAACCGCAGAGAAUCGGUGGACUAAUGUCUGGAAAGAAAACCAGCUGCGUUUGUGCAAUCAUUCAGAUAAGACGGUACUGAAAUGCAGGUAUUCCUCUCGAUUAGUUUACUUGUGGCUGUGCCACUGCCCGGAGCAAGUGCAGGGCGGGCAGGUGGCGAGGCACCAGCAGGGCAGCACCACUGUGCCUGGGAGCAGUUUGUUCAGGUGUGACUCAGGUCACACCUGAGUGUUUGUUCACUUGGAAAGGUCAUGUUUUUUUGCCUGAGAUUGCUGGGGCCACCUGGAAAGGCCAGGGAGCCCUGUUCCCCUGGGGAGAAACCCUUACUGGUUCUCUUCUGUGGGGCUCCGACCUUGGGCAGCGCUGAGGGCUGUGCAGCCGCACGCUCCUGUCCCUGCCGUGCUCUGGCUGCUCAGAGGAAGUGGUGGCAAACCUCAGGGCCCCAUUAUGUUUCUGUCUGCUUAACAUCACCACCUGCUUUUUGCGUGCUGGUGCCUGGCCGGUGGUGCUGAGCAGCUCAGGGCUGGCAGCGGGGCCCUGAGGCCGCAGCAGCUGAGUGCGCACCUCGGUGUCUCAGCGCCUCGAACUGCAGGAGCCAGCAGUGGUUGUGUGGUGCAGCUGAGAGUAACCUGCUAGCUUGUCACUGCCGGUUUUGCCUACUUGGUUUGUCAUCCCUAUUGCUAGAUUGUGUCUUUACACUGCCAGUUUAUCUGCAGUGCCUUCUCAUCACACAGCUGCAGGGACUGAGGCCUUGCGGAACAGGAUCUCAGUGGCAUCAGUGGGAGCCGAAGGCAUCGCCAGAGCCCCGCAGAAAGGCUCUGUCAGCUGAACUUGUGAAUGGUGGAAAUGAACUUAUGAAGCCCUUUUUUGACCCGCUGUGCUUCUGGCAACAGCAAGAAGUGUUUUACAGUCUGUUCCAACUUACCUCCCACAAACCCGCAGCAAUGUGGCCCUGCUCGAGCAGGGGCUAGACCGGGCGGACCCCCGGGGUCCCUGCCUGCUGACCCCAGCCACUGGUGUUCUGUUGUUUUGGGUCAGAGCUCCCUUCCACAGGCACCGGGGGCUGUACCUGCCACCCGUGCUGGCUAUUGACAUGGUCCCUGGAGGCCUGCAUGGGCACCGUGGUUUUGAAGGGCUGCAGGACCUCCGGCCUGCUGUGAGAUUUCUCUUUUUUCAUCUUUGCCUCUGCUCAGGGCUAUCUCAGCCUGUGCCACAGCCGGUCCCAUCCCUGGAGGGAGCCACCACCUUCCCUCCUGCUGAGGUCCUCUCCUCAUCACACACAGCACAGCUGGCUCUAUUUUGCUCCUGGCCAACGCUUGCCUGCUAACAGAUUUUCUGUCUUAAGCCUUUUUUUUCCUCCCUUUUGAGUUUUGGGUUUUUGAUCACUUCUGUGGAAUCGCAGCACUGUCCCAGAACUUUGUAUGAACUGUGCAAUUUCUUUUUUCCCUUGGCAAAUUUAGUGGGCUUUCUUUUUUUUCUUCUUUUCUUUUUAAUUAGGACAUUCAUUCCUGGUUCCCAAGAAUUACAUUAUUUUGUUUGUUUAUUAUAAAUACCAAUAUCAUGAGCUUGUCUUUGCACGGUUUGUUCUUCACGUUUUCAUGACCAUUGCAUCAUUUUGUUGCGUACUCCAAAACUGUAAGACUUUGUGAUGCAGUUUCCCUUUUUUACCCCUGCUUCUUCUUGAAAUAACUCCAAAUUCUCCCUGUGUCAUUUAUUUUCCCUAAACUGGCUCAGUGUCCCCACACAAACUGUAGUCAUUGCAUCCAGUCUCAGCUUCAUCAUUGUUCUGAGGGCUUUUUACAUGUGAAUGCAUGGUUAAGAAGAUGAAGGACACUCUAAGAACAAAAAGGGCGAUGAAAGCAACAGAUCUUGACCUUCUCCAUGCUGUAAACCUUGGUCUCCACAGCUCUGGAAUCUAUCUGAUCUGUGAGCAUGGGCAGAGCGAAGGCACCACAGGCACAAACAGAAUUGGUAGUAAGAAUAAACAAAGAAAAUAUUUCUGAAGAAUUUUUGAAGGCUGGAGAAAAAGGCACUGAAUGCAGAUUUAAACUGUUGGGUUGACCCAAAGUUACUCCAUCUGAAUUUAGAAUGAUCAGAAAUAUGAAAGUGAGCUGCCCUCGAUUAGAUUAUUUAUUCAGAACACUGCGGCACUGAGAGAGGUGGCCCUGAAGUGAGACAUGUGAAUUGACGUGCCACCAUCACCCCCGGAUUUUUUUGGGGGCAUCGUUAGCUGGAAGCUGCAUCUGCAGUAUCUGGUUUUGCUCAUUCAUCUAGAUAAGCACAAAGUUACGAUGCCCAGAUAAGCUUUCUGUGCUGCUGCGAUUAAGUAAUGCAGCAUGGAUAUGGUGCAGCAGCUUGUGCCUUGCUAGCCUGCCAGGCUCAAGAAAAUGGAAACUUCUGAAAGCCUGGAGCAGGCUCCAGCUCCUGUCCUCAAUGGUCUUUCCACUGAAGAUGGUGACGGCUGCUCAGUGCAAUCUGGCCAGGGGCAGGUGAUGGUGAGAGUGCUGGAGCACAGUAGAGGUGAUGCUUGGGGGUCCCUGGGGCCACUGCAGCGGCUCCUCUGUCCCCUGUGCCCCAGGGGCAUGGGCAGCAGCGUGCCUGUGGGGGCAGCCCCCAGGCACCACCUGGAGGAAUGUGUGGGUGUUUCGGUGAUAAAUGGGACCGAUGGGUGUGGGUAAAGGACAUCCUAGGGUGACAUUUGUGAGAGGUCGUGUUGGGUCUUUUCCCUCCCUCAUCUGAAUGGGCAGGCUAGAUGUAUGAGGAGAUCGCAGGGCUUGGGAGACCUUAUCUUCAUUUUUAAUCCGUCUUAAUAAAUGGGCAACUUUUGACUCAUGUAACUUCACAUAUGGAAACUUUAUUUUAUCACUGCACAUCGUUAGUAAAUGUUACAUCGAUCAUUUUCUCUGUAUGCGAAGCAUUUCCAGCAUCUCGCAGCAGUGCUGCUCACGGUGGACCUUCCUGGGAGCCCCUCUGCCCCAGCCGCAGACCUGCGGCUUGCGCAGAAGCCAGCGUCAAGCCAGGAAAGUUGAGAAAUUUUGUAAAAAGCUUGACCUAAAAAAACAUGUAAAUCUUUUUCUUAGGAAGAAAGGAGGAAUGUUGUUUACAGUUCUGUAGUGUUCCGUGGGGGUGACUGCUUUCUGGAAGCACCAUGGGCAGCAGCUGAGCAGUGGUUCAGGGGAGAAUGGUUUUAACUCUGCAGGGCAGAUCGGCACACA